CCCGCCCCCUCCCCCCGCCAGCUCCCAGGCCCAGCCCACCGCGCUCGGCCGCCCCGGCCCCUCACCCUGGCUCCCUGGCCGGCUCUCCAGCUUCGGGCUUUGCAGAAGGGUCCGGGCGGCGGCGGCGGCGGAGAGAAGCCCCCUCUGAUGAGAGUCACCGAGAUGGCAGACAGCUGUCUCGCUUACAUUUGUCUUCUAUUUCUCGACCUGUUAGGGAGCGAAGGGGCGAAGCCUUACAAGCAAAUGUGAUGCAGACCGCUAAGCUGGCAUUUCGAGAUGUUUUCACGUUACUCACUUCCCUGAGUCUGAUCCCCCUGUACUGUGCUUCAAGACUGUCCAAACUUCUGGGGUUUUGUUUGUUUGUUUCUUUUGUUUUGUUUUCAGUUCCAGGUAUUGAACCCAUGGAGAACUGAGAUGUUGGGAACUCCAUUCUACAUUUGGAUUUGGGGAAGAAGGUCUUGUUGCUACGUUUUCUGUCCAUUUCUGCAGAGGAGGAAUCACCAUCAUCAUCAUGUUCUUUCUCUGGCAAACUCAACCCGAGCAGAGUCAGCAAAUAGUCCUGUUGCGACUCCUGAGGGACUUUAAUGGAAAAUCUUCAAGAACCUGGGAUUGAACUCGGGUCCUUCCGCUUUCGAGGCAGGCAGUGGAACCACUGAGCUAAAUCCCCGGCCCGCGAUUACACACUUUAUGAAACACUGCACUACAUUUCAACGGGACCUCGUGGAUGUCAGAGUACAGAGGAGGAACAAAGAGGCAAACAAGCUAAGAUUAAGUGACAGAGAGUCCGAGGAGCAUGAAUCUUCUUGCUGCAUUAUGAGGCCCCCAGUGUUUCCUGCUGGCUCCUCCCCACCAGAAGAGAGCUACCUGCUGGGUGUCAUGCCUGCUGGCAGACACCACUGGAAGACACUGCCCUACUGUAGGCACCCUCUUCAGUCUCCUUCCCUGAAUGGCAGAACGGGUCACUGAGGAUCACUGUCCCAAGGCCUGGAGGAAGCCCGUGCAGAACCCCAGGAUCUCCUGAUUACGUAUCUGAGUCCUGCAGAGGCAACUGUGAUUCACAACUGUGCUGCUUCUAGAUGUAGAUCUUUGGAUAGAAAAGCCCCUGGCAGAGUCUCACAGCUAAGAGUUUGCCUUGAUCUCAGAGGAGGCUGGAGUUGGAAUCUCGCCAAUAAUGGAACUGUUAAGACUUUGGCCACCCUUACAAAUGGACUAAGGUA